UUUUUCUGAGUCUAAGACUGUUUUCUGAUUUUGUGACUCCAAUAGGUACAUAGCAAAGAGGAAAGAUUUGAGCAGAUCCUGGCUGGAAUGAAGCAGGCGAGUAUGGAGCUGGGUUUUACAGGAGCCCAGAAAUUAAGGAAGCUGAAGACCCAAGGGGAAAAUAAGGUGCCGGAGAGGACACGGUCGGUCAGUGAGGAGGAGCAGGCAGAACUCAGGCUUCUCAGCUUCCAGGUCAGUGCUCCUGCCUCUGCCGGCACUGCCCAGCCCUGCAGACGCCUGUGCCAGCAGAGAUUAUGGUCAGGGAAGCAGCCACCAGGCCAUACUCUAAUCAUGAGCAAGAAGAAAUUUGUCUGAGUUGCAGAAUGUUUUUCUGUAGCUAGCUCACAAUUACUCUGCCCCAUGGGUCCUUGCAGGGACACUGUGGUCCACCCACUGGUGCGCCUGGGGCUUCAGCUUUGCUGUGUGCCCCCAACAGGACCUUCUGGAGCCCCAGUAGCUAUUUUGGCUGGAGGCCAGGGCCCCACCUUGUUACAAAUUUUAAUGGUUCCUCUUAGGAGGCAUUUACCGUGCAGCCACCGAAUCUCCAGGGAAGACCUUGCAGAGGUGCUGGCCUAAGGACACUCACCUCUCUUCCCUGGGAGUGCCUUUGGGGUGGGUUUGGGCUACACCCCUGCAUGUCAGGGGAGUGGAGGCAGGAAAGGAGCACUGAGGUGAGGGUGGAAUGGGAUGAGGGUGGCUGUGAAGCUGGGGUGGGGUGCAGUGAGUGUCCUUGCCAAGACCUUGAAGCACCCAGCCCCACAGGACCACCACUAUGCUCCUAGAACUUGAUUGUUUACUCGGUGCCCGGUUCUUGUGCACAGAGGCGAAUGAAGCCGCAGUUCCUGCCAUGGAGGAAUCCAUCAUUUCCUGGAAAGCAGGAUACAGCCAAAAAUAAAAAAUUUAAAA